rnacentral:rRNA from 1 species
UACCUGGUUGAUCCUGCCAGUAGUCAUAUGCUUGUCUCAAAGAUUAAGCCAGACAUGUGUAAGUAUAAACUUGUUUGUACUGUGAAAUUGCGUAAGUAUAAACUGUGUAAGUAUACACUCGAAUUACACCAGACUUGACCUCCAAUGGAUCCUCAUUAAGGGAUUUAUAUUGUACUCAUUCCAAUUACCAGACUUGUAAAAGCCCAAUAUUGUUAUUUAUUGUCACUACCUCCCCGUGUCGGGAUUGGGUAAUUCGAGCUCCAAUAGCGUAUAUUUAAGUUGUUUCAGUUAAAAAGCUCAUAGUUGGAUCUCGGGGCGGGGCAUGUCAUCUGCCCUCUCGGGUGUCCACUGUUCGCUCCGUCCUUUCUGUUGGGGACGCGCUCCUAGCCUUAACUGUCCGGGACGUAGAUUCGGCGCUGUUACUUUGAAAAAAUUAGAGUGCUC